rnacentral:rRNA from 1 species
AUGUCUAGUAUAAGCAAUUAUACCGUGAAACUGCGAAUGGCUCAUUAAAUCAGUUAUCGUUUAUUUGAUAGUACCUUACUACUUGGAUAACCGUGGUAAUUCUAGAGCUAAUACAUGCUGAAAACCCCGACUUCGGGAGGGGUGUAUUUAUUAGAUAAAAAACCAACGCCCUUCGGGGCUUCUUGGUGAUUCAUGAUAACUUCACGGAUCGCAUGGCCUUGCGCCGGCGACGGUUCAUUCAAAUUUCUGCCCUAUCAACUUUCGAUGGUAAGGUAUUGGCUUACCAUGGUUUCAACGGGUAACGGGGAAUUAGGGUUCGAUUCCGGAGAGGGAGCCUGAGAAACGGCUACCACAUCCAAGGAAGGCAGCAGGCGCGCAAAUUACCCAAUCCCGACACGGGGAGGUAGUGACAAUAAAUACUGAUACAGGGCUCUUUUGGGUCUUGUAAUUGGAAUGAGUACAAUUUAAACCUCUUAACGAGGAACAAUUGGAGGGCAAGUCUGGUGCCAGCAGCCGCGGUAAUUCCAGCUCCAAUAGCGUAUAUUAAAGUUGUUGCAGUUAAAAAGCUCGUAGUUGAAACUUGGGCCUGGCUGGCAGGUCCGCCUCACCGCGUGUACUUGUCCGGCCGGGCCUUUCCUUCUGGAGAACCUCAUGCCCUUCACUGGGUGUGUUGGGGAACCAGGACUUUUACUUUGAAAAAAUUAGAGUGUUCAAAGCAGGCCUUUGCUCGAAUACGUUAGCAUGGAAUAAUAGAAUAGGACGUGCGGUCCUAUUUUGUUGGUUUCUAGGACCGCCGUAAUGAUUAAUAGGGACAGUCGGGGGCAUCAGUAUUCAAUUGUCAGAGGUGAAAUUCUUGGAUUUAUUGAAGACUAACUACUGCGAAAGCAUUUGCCAAGGAUGUUUUCAUUAAUCAGUGAACGAAAGUUAGGGGAUCGAAGACGAUCAGAUACCGUCGUAGUCUUAACCGUAAACUAUGCCGACUAGGGAUCGGGCGAUGUUCUUUUUCUGACUCGCUCGGCACCUUACGAGAAAUCAAAGUUUUGGGUUCUGG